rnacentral:rRNA from 1 species
AUUGAACGCUGGCGGCAUGCCUUACACAUGCAAGUCGAACGGCAGCACGGGUGCUUGCACCUGGUGGCGAGUGGCGAACGGGUGAGUAAUACAUCGGAACAUGUCCUGUAGUGGGGGAUAGCCCGGCGAAAGCCGGAUUAAUACCGCAUACGAUCUACGGAUGAAAGCGGGGGACCUUCGGGCCUCGCGCUAUAGGGUUGGCCGAUGGCUGAUUAGCUAGUUGGCGGGGUAAAGGCCUACCAAGGCGACGAUCAGUAGCUGGUCUGAGAGGACGACCAGCCACACUGGGACUGAGACACGGCCCAGACUCCUACGGGAGGCAGCAGUGGGGAAUUUUGGACAAUGGGCGAAAGCCUGAUCCAGCAAUGCCGCGUGUGUGAAGAAGGCCUUCGGGUUGUAAAGCACUUUUGUCCGGAAAGAAAUCCUUGGCUCUAAUACAGUCGGGGGAUGACGGUACCGGAAGAAUAAGCACCGGCUAACUACG